AGAGUGAACGCUGGCGGCAGGCCUAACACAUGCAAGUCGAACGGCAGCACAGAGGAGCUUGCUCCUUGGGUGGCGAGUGGCGGACGGGUGAGGAAUACGUCGGAAUCUGCCUAUUUGGUGGGGGAUAACGUAGGGAAACUUACGCUAAUACCGCAUACGACCUACGGGUGAAAGCGGAGGACCUUCGGGCUUCGCGCAGAUAGAUGAGCCGACGUCGGAUUAGCUAGUUGGCGGGGUAAAGCCCACCAAGGCGACGAUCCGUAGCUGGUCUGAGAGGAUGAUCAGCCACACUGGAACUGAGACACGGUCCAGACUCCGUACGGGAGGCAGCAGGUGGGAAUAUUGGACAAGUGGGACGCAAGCCUGAAUCCAGCCAGUCGCCGCGUGGUGUAGAAGGUAGGUCCGUUACGGGUUAGUAAACGUC
rnacentral:rRNA from 1 species